GAUGAAGAACGCAGCGAAAUGUGAUAAGUAAUGUGAAUUGCAGAAUUCAGUGAAUCAUCGAAUCUUUGAACGCACAUUGCGCCCGCCAGUAUUCUGGCGGGCAUGCCUGUCCGAGCGUCAUUUCAACCAUCAAGCCCCGGGCUUGUGUUGGGGACCUGCGUCCGACGCAGGCCCUGAAAACCAGUGGCGGGCUCGCUGUCCACACCGAGCGUAGUAACUAACCUCGCUAUGGAGUGGCGCGGGCGCCUGCCGUAAAACCCCCAAUUUCACAAGGUUGACCUCGGAUCAGGAAGGAAUACCCGCUGAACUUAAGCAUAUCAAUAAGCGGAGGA
rnacentral:misc_RNA from 1 species